GAUGAACGCUAGCGGCAGGCUUAAUACAUGCAAGUCGAGGGGCAGCAGUUCUGUAGCAAUACAGAAGCUGGCGACCGGCAAACGGGUGCGGAACACGUACGCAACCUUUCUUUAACUGGAAGAUAGCCCACCGAAAGGUGGAUUAAUACUCCAUAACAUAUUGAAGAGGCAUCUCUUUGAUAUUAAAGCUCCGGCGGUUAAAGAUGGGCGUGCGUCUGAUUAGGUAGUUGGCGGGGUAACGGCCCACCAAGCCUUCGAUCAGUAGCUGAUGUGAGAGCAUGAUCAGCCACACGGGCACUGAGACACGGGCCCGACUCCUACGGGAGGCAGCAGUAAGGAAUAUUGGUCAAUGGACGCAAGUCUGAACCAGCCAUGCCGCGUGGAGGAUGAAGGCCCUCUGGGUUGUAAACUUCUUUUCUUUGGGACGAAACCCCUGUUUCUACGGGGACUGACGGUACCAGAGGAAUAAGCACCGGCUAACUCCGUGCCAGCAGCCGCAGUAA
rnacentral:rRNA from 1 species